rnacentral:rRNA from 1 species
UAAUGUAUGGGGAUCUGCCCGAUAGAGGGGGAUAACUACUGGAAACGGUGGCUAAUACCGCAUAAUGUCUACGGACCAAAGCAGGGGCUCUUCGGACCUUGCACUAUCGGAUGAACCUAUAUGGGAUUAGCUAGUAGGUGGGGUAAAGGCUCACCUAGGCGACGAUCUCUAGCUGGUCUGAGAGGAUGAUCAGCCACACUGGGACUGAGACACGGCCCAG